ensembl:ncRNA Y54F10BM.19 ncRNA
UUUAGGCUUAGGCUUAGGCUUAAGUUAAGGCUUAGGUGUAGGCUUAGGCUUAGGCUUAAGGUUAUAUUUAGGCUUAUGCCUAGGAUUAGGCUUAGAAGUAAGCUCAGGCUUAGGCCCAGAUUCAUGCUUAGGUUUAGACUCAGGCAAGCUUAGGCUUAGGAUUAAGCUCAGGCCUAGGCUUA